AAAUUAUUAGUUUAAGUGAAAAUAAAUGUUUUCUAUACAUUAGAUGAUGGGAUUCAUAAUUUA
rnacentral:tRNA from 1 species